rnacentral:rRNA from 1 species
GACAGAGGGUGCAAGCGUUGUUCGGAAUCAUUGGGCGUAAAGGGCGCGUAGGCGGUUUGAUAAGUUAAAUGUGAAAUCCCAGGGCUCAACCGUGGAAGUGCAUUUAAAACUGUCAGACUGGAGUCCCGGAGAGGGUGGUGGAAUUCCCAGUGUAGAGGUGAAAUUCGUAGAUAUUGGGAGGAACAUCGGUGGCGAAGGCGACCACCUGGACGGUGACUGACGCUGAGGCGCGAAAGCGUGGGUAGCAAACAGG